GGCUGUCUUAUACAAGGCCUCUAGUAUACAACUUUGCCCCCUCUCAGCCCGUCAUCUUUGCCCCCACUUAUUUCUUUUUCCUGGUUAAACUUUGCAAAGGCCAUACAUUAUUGACAACCGAGCCCACCCAGGCACAUGGCCUUUCACAUACGAGAAGUCAUUGGCCUGUGCCAUAUAAUCGUAUUUGCACAGAGCACGGACGGACGGAGACCUGAGUCCUAGGCGCAAUUGCCGCCUGGCGGCCAAGCAAAACGCAACGCGCCCUCGCCAGUUCAUCUCCGGUCUUCGGCAAACGCCUUCGAUCUGCGUUGUGCACAACGGACGCCCAGCCGGUUUCCUGAUCUAUGGCCCUCUCAAUUUUAUCUGUGAUGCUCUUCUGCGUGUUACUGAUCAAUCGAGAUAAACCCUAGGGUAAGUUCAUCUUUUCUAGUUUCAGUUCUAAUUUCCAAAUUGUUGUUCCUUCUCUAUUUCUGAGUUAGGAAUUGGGCGAGUUUUAUUUCAAAUAUCAACCUUGUGUACAAUAUACCAAUUGAUAACUAGGUAAACUGAUUGUAGCUGCACGGAAUAAUUUGUACAAAAUAAGUUUGGGUAUGUGAGAGAGGAAUAAAUCUGUAGGUACUAGGUACUAUCUGCCUUCAUGUAUGAUAUUUUAUUUAAUGUCUCAACCUUUUGACAUUGGCAGGGGAGCUAAAGGAGGGUUUUCCUAUGUUUGUUGUAAAAUCUACAACUCGCAACAUGCUUCGGUUAAUUGAUCUGAACAAGCUUCCUUGGGAUCCAUCUAAAAGUUGCUGGCUAGAAAUUUUAUUCAAGAAGGUUGCGAACAACAAAUUGCCACUUAUCAAGUCAUUGUGUCUUAAAUGAACGGCACUUUCGCCUACUUCAUUGUCUUGUCGCUGAAAGAGCUCUCCAGGUGUCAAAGGCAUUGCCGUUUCAACGGACGCGGAGUCGGAAGAUCAACCCGGCGAAGUACAAGCCACGGCAGCAUUGUGGAAACUCUGCUCGUAGCUCGCCAGUACCCAACCACCUGGCAGGAGCAACAAACGACCAUCUGCUGAUUCAGUCGCGUGCACUGAUUUAGCCAUGGUCCGCUUCACCCGGCCAAGCCAACGAGUUGAUCCAUCGCAGGAAGUCCACCCAUCACUUUCGCUUUUUUCAUCACUGUAUUCUCGAGGACUACACAGGGCAGUCGGAGCACCUGUCAAAGAUCGCGCGAGGUUUCGCGGAAUUUCGCGUCCGGCUCUGUUGGCCGAUCAGGCAGCACAGUGGCGCACCGCUUUCGCGGGUCUGACGACGCAGCAGCGGAGGAAUCGGGCAUGUGCGUCACAACUCAGAACGGACGGACAUGACUGCUCAGGCUCCGUUUUGCAACUGUUCUUGGGUGAAUCCCGUCUGAACCGUUCCGCUCCAGACCUGUAAAUUCUCACCGAACAGUAGCCCGAUCUGCUGUUUCGGCUGCUGCUUUGAGUGCCAAAUACAUCACGGGUACCUUAACUUGUCCAGUGCGGUCACUUUGAUGCCUAAACUUGUAAAAUACACAAAACUGGUGCCGCAACUUGUUCGAGCGUUCAAAUACGGUGCCUCCUUCCGUAUUUGGGCAUAUGCACUGCCCACAGUGCCAACAUGGCAUCAGCCCACAUGUCAAUGGGUGUGAGAGGAGUGUGCUGGUUGUUUUACAGAAAACUCUUUGUACUUGAUAUAAUUUUCACAAAAGCUCCCGAUAUUUUAUUUAAAUACGUCAAAUUGCAUUGUUUUACAGAAAACUCCUUAUACUUUAUAUAAUUUUCACAAAAGCUCCUGACAUUUUAUUUAAAUACGUUAGAAAACUCGCAUGCCAGCACAUGGGAUAAAAUAGUAAUAACAAAAAAAGAGCACCCGACAGGAUUCGAACUUGGUACCAGGGCGCACAGCCUACACACAUGUGCUAAUCACUACGCCUAUAAUAGUUGACUAUGCAAUAUCCUAAUACGCUUCUACUUACCAAGAAACUGGGUGACAUAAUAAAGAGAAAUAAAAAAUAAAAA